rnacentral:rRNA from 1 species
GCCUACGGGGGGCAGCAGUAGGGAAUCUUCCACAAUGGGCGAAAGCCUGAUGGAGCAACGCCGCGUGGGUGAAGAAGGUCUUCGGAUCGUAAAACCCUGUUGUUAGAGAAGAAAGUGCGUGAGAGUAACUGUUCACGUUUCGACGGUAUCUAACCAGAAAGCCACGGCUAACAACGUGCCAGCAGCCGCGGUAAUGCGUAGGUGGCAAGCGUUAUCCGGAUUUAUUGGGCGUAAAGGGAACGCAGGCGGUCUUUUAAGUCUGAUGUGAAAGCCUUCGGCUUAACCGGAGUAGUGCAUUGGAAACU